rnacentral:rRNA from 1 species
UGGGAAGUAUUGUCGACAAUGGGGGAAACCCUGAUGCAGCGACGCCGCGUGAGUGAAGAAGUAUUUCGGUAUGUAAAGCUCUAUCAGCAGGGAAGAAAAUGACGGUACCUGACUAAGAAGCCCCGGCUAACUACGUGCCAGCAGCCGCGGUAAUACGUAGGGGGCAAGCGUUAUCCGGAUUUACUGGGUGUAAAGGGAGCGUAGACGGCAUGACAAGCCAGAUGUGAAAACCCAGGGCUCAACCCUGGGACUGCAUUUGGAACUGCCAGGCUGGAGUGCAGGAGAGGUAAGCGGAAUUCCUAGUGUAGCGGUGAAAUGCGUAGAUAUUAGGAGGAACACCAGUGGCGAAGGCGGCUUACUGGACUGUAACUGACGUUGAGGCUCGAAAGCGUGGGGAGCAAACAGGAUUAGAUACCCUGGUAGU